rnacentral:rRNA from 1 species
UAGGGAAUCUUCCACAAUGGACGAAAGUCUGAUGGAGCAACGCCGCGUGAGUGAUGAAGGGUUUCGGCUCGUAAAACUCUGUUGUUGGAGAAGAACGGGUGUCAGAGUAACUGUUGACAUCGUGACGGUAUCCAACCAGAAAGCCACGGCUAACUACGUGCCAGCAGCCGCGGUAAUACGUAGGUGGCAAGCGUUGUCCGGAUUUAUUGGGCGUAAAGCGAGCGCAGGCGGUUUUUAGGUCUGAUGUGAAAGCCUUCGGCUUAACCGGAGAAGUGCAUCGGAAACCGGGAGACUUGAGUGCAGAAGAGGACAGUGGAACUCCAUGUGUAGCGGUGAAAUGCGUAGAUAUAUGGAAGAACACCAGUGGCGAAGGCGGCUGUCUGGUCUGCAACUGACGCUGAGGCUCGAAAGCAUGGGUAGCGAACAGGAUUAGAUACCCUGGUAGUCCAUGCCGUAAACGAUGAGUGCUAAGUGUUGGAGGGUUUCCGCCCUUCAGUGCUGCAGCUAACGCAUUAAGCACUCCGCCUGGGGAGUACGACCGCAAGGUUGAAAC